rnacentral:rRNA from 1 species
ACGCUAGCUACAGGCUUAACACAUGCAAGUCGAGGGGAAACGGCAUUAAGUGCUUGCACUUUUUGGACGUCGACCGGCGCACGGGUGAGUAACGCGUAUCCAACCUUCCCAUGACUAAGGGAUAACCUGCCGAAAGGCAGACUAAUACCUUAUGGUCUUCACUGACGGCAUCAGAUGUGAAGUAAAGAUUUAUCGGUUAUGGAUGGGGAUGCGUCUGAUUAGUUAGUUGGCGGGGUAACGGCCCACCAAGGCAACGAUCAGUAGGAGUUCUGAGAGGAAGGUCCCCCACAUUGGAACUGAGACACGGUCCAAACUCCUACGGGAGGCAGCAGUGAGGAAUAUUGGUCAAUGGGCGAGAGCCUGAACCAGCCAAGUAGCGUGCAGGACGACGGCCCUAUGGGUUGUAAACUGCUUUUGUAUGGGGAUAAAGUCAAUCACGUGUGAUUGUUUGCAGGUACCAUACGAAUAAGGACCGGCUAAUUCCGUGCCAGCAGCCGCGGUAAUACGGAAGGUCCGGGCGUUAUCCGGAUUUAUUGGGUUUAAAGGGAGCGUAGGCUGGAGAUUAAGUGUGUUGUGAAAUGUAGACGCUCAACGUCUGACUUGCAGCGCAUACUGGUUUCCUUGAGUACGCACAACGUUGGCGGAAUUCGUCGUGUAGCGGUGAAAUGCUUAGAUAUGACGAAGAACUCCGAUUGCGAAGGCAGCUGACGGGAGCGCAACUGACGCUGAAGCUCGAAGGUGCGGGUAUCGAACAGGAUUGGAUACCCUGGUAGUCCGCACAGUAAACGAUGGAUGCCCGCUGUUGGUACCUGGUAUCAGCGGCUAAGCGAAAGCAUUAAGCAUCCCACCUGGGGAGUACGCCGGCAACGGUGAAACUCAAAGGAAUUGACGGGGGCCCGCACAAGCGGAGGAACAUGUGG